ACUCAAAGGAAUUGACGGGGGCCCGCACAAGCGGUGGAGUAUGUGGUUUAAUUCGAUGCUACGCGAAAAACCUUACCUGGGCUUGACAUCCCGCGCUACCAGCAGAGACGCUGGGUUCCCUUUGGGGACGCGGAGACAGGUGCUGCAUGGCUGUCGUCAGCUCGUGUUGUGAGAUGUUGGGUUAAGUCCCGCAACGAGCGCAACCCUCGCCCUUAGUUACCAUCAUUAAGUUGGGCACUCUAAGGGUACCGCUUGGCUAUAAGCCAGAGGAAGGUGGGGAUGACGUCAAGUCCUCAUGGCCUUUAUGUCCAGGGCUACACACGUACUACAAUGGGCGCCACAAUGCGUCGCAAGCUCGCAAGAGCAAGCUAAUCGCAAAAAAGCACCCUCAGUUCGGAUUGGAGUCUGCAACUCGACUCCAUGAAGCUGGAAUCGCUAGUAAUCGUGGAUCAGCAUGCCACGGUGAAUACGUUCCCGGGCCUUGCACACACCGCCCGU
rnacentral:rRNA from 1 species